rnacentral:misc_RNA from 1 species
GCCCAUAAUCCCCCACUAUUUACUAUACAUAUCAUGAAAUGUCGUAUCUGUGGAUUUCAUUUUUUUUAUCCAUCCCCGGUUUUUUGAUCAUAUGUUAUAUUCUUCAUAUUCUUCAUAUAAGGAUAUAUUUUUUAAUAUAAUAGUUAUAUGACAAGUUGAUCUUUUUAUCAGAUAACCCCGUCCUCGAGCCUGAGGUUUUAAUUUUUUCACAGUAGUGCCUUCAUUGACUUCGGCUUUACUAAUGAUUAAAUUGACUUCGUUGAAACCCAUAUUGUGACUAGCAUUUGCUGCUGCAGAAUAAAUCAAUUUAAAAAGGGGAUAACAUGCUCGAUAAGGCAUGAGCUCGAGUAUCAUAAGUGUUUCUUCGUAAGAACGUCCACGAAUCUGAUCAAUUAUUCUUCGUGCUUUGUGAGGGGACAUACAUAUAUGUUGGCCUAAAGCAUAUACUUCUGUAUAUGGGUCUCUCUUUCUCUUUCUUUUAUUUAUCAUAAGAUUCACCUCUUUUUAAUGAACGAAAAAUAUUUAUAUUUGAUUUGCCUUUUUUUUUAAUAUUAAUGGAAUUAAUAUUAACGAUGAGAUUUAUUAUCAUUUUUUGCAUGUCCCUGGAAAUUUAGAGUAGGUGAAAAUUCUCCCAAUUUAUGACCCACCAUACGGUCUGUU